AGUUGGUCCGAGUGCAGUGGAGUUUACAGCUAAUUGAUCACAACCAGUUACAGAUUCCUUUGUUCCUUCUCCACUCCCCCUGCUCCACUUGACCAGCCUUAA
rnacentral:Y_RNA from 1 species